CCCUUAGAUGUUCUGGGCCGCACGCGCGCUACACUGACGAAUGCAACGAGCUUAUAACCUUGGCCGAAAGGUCUGGGUAAUCUCCAAAUUUCGUCGUGAUGGGGAUAGAUUAUUGCAAUUAUUAAUCUUCAACGAGGAAUGCCUAGUAAGCGCAAGUCAUCAGCUUGCGUUGAUUACGUCCCUGCCCUUUGUACACACCGCCCGUCGCUCCUACCGAUUGAAUGAUCCGAUGAAUACCAUGGAUUGAGAGUACGAAUGGGUUCGCUCAUUUCUGCUGCUCGAGAAGUGGAGUAAAUCUUAUCAUUUAGAGGAAGGAGAAGUCGUAACA
rnacentral:rRNA from 1 species